rnacentral:rRNA from 1 species
UACGUAGGUGGCAAGCGUUGUCCGGAAUUAUUGGGCGUAAAGCGCGCGCAGGCGGUCCUUUAAGUCUGAUGUGAAAUCUUGCGGCUCAACCGCAAGCGGUCAUUGGAAACUGGGGGACUUGAGUGCAGAAGAGGAGAGUGGAAUUCCACGUGUAGCGGUGAAAUGCGUAGAGAUGUGGAGGAACACCAGUGGCGAAGGCGACUCUCUGGUCUGUAACUGACGCUGAGGCGCGAAAGCGUGGGGAGCGAACAGGAUUAGAAACCCGCGUAGUCC